rnacentral:rRNA from 1 species
UACGUAGGGCGCAAGCGUUGUCCGGAAUUAUUGGGCGUAAAGAGCUCGUAGGCGGUGUGUCACGUCGGCCGUGAAAACCUGCAGCUUAACUGUGGGCGUGCGGUCGAUACGGGCAUCACUGGAGUUCGGCAGGGGAGACUGGAAUUCCUGGUGUAGCGGUGAAAUGCGCAGAUAUCAGGAGGAACACCUGUGGCGAAGGCGGCUCGCUGGGCCGGUCCUGACGCUGAGACGCGAAGGCGUGGGGAGCGAACGGG